ACGAACGCUGGCGGCGUGCUUAACACAUGCACGUCGAACGGAAAGGCCCUGCUUUUGUGGGGUGCUCGAGUGGCGAACGGGUGAGUAACACGUGAGUAACCUGCCCUUGACUUUGGGAUAACUUCAGGAAACUGGGGCUAAUACCGGAUAGGAGCCCCUGCUGCAUGGUGGGGGUUGGAAAGUUUCGGCGGUUGGGGAUGGACUCGCGGCUUAUCAGCUUGUUGGUGGGGUAGUGGCUUACCAAGGCUUUGACGGGUAGCCGGCCUGAGAGGGUGACCGGCCACAUUGGGACUGAGAUACGGCCCAGACUCCUACGGGAGGCAGCAGUGGGGAAUAUUGCACAAUGGGCGGAAGCCUGAUGCAGCAACGCCGCGUGCGGGAUGAAGGCCUUCGGGUUGUAAACCGCUUUCGCCUGUGACGAAGCGUGAGUGACGGUAAUGGGUAAAGAAGCACCGGCUAACUACGU
rnacentral:rRNA from 1 species